GUCAGAUGGAGCCUGGGCCGAACAGGGAAAGGACGGAGGCGGCCCGCGCGGGGUCGUUCAGUCGGGGUCGUCGCCGUCCCUUCCCCGUUCGACCCGUACCCGCCUGAGCU
ensembl:miRNA